GCAGUAGUGAGCACAAAUACGUCGAUCUGCGCGCCGGUGUGGCUUAUGUUUACUUUUGCUGUGGUUUGAUUGUAACAACAAACAUAGCUAGAAGCGUUUAUUAAAACAAUUCCAUAGAUGACAGAAGGCGGAUUUUAUUCAUUAAUAAAAUGAUAAAUCAAAGCAGUAAUUCUGAAAUGCCCAUCUCUGUUAUUGUCAUGUCGGAACAGUGAUUAAAUCACAAGAGAGCGUUUCUGUAAGACCGUUAGAAUGGAGCUCGUAUUUACAGAACGUGCGAUACCGGCUUACCUCUGUGCUAACAGAGAGGGGUAUAUCUCCA